GACAGAGGGUGCAAACGUUGUUCGGAAUUACUGGGCGUAAAGCGUGCGCAGGCGGUUAUGUAAGACAGGUGUGAAAUCCCCGGGCUUAACCUGGGAACUGCAUUUGUGACUGCAUAGCUAGAGUACGGUAGAGGGGGAUGGAAUUCCGCGUGUAGGCAGUGAAAUGCGUAGAUAUCUGGAGGAACACCGGUGGCGAAGGCGGCAUCCUGGACCGGCAUUGACGCUGAGGCGCGAAAGCCAGGGGAGCAAAGCGGGG
rnacentral:rRNA from 1 species